GAUAACUUAGUUUAUAAAAACAAAUACUUUGAAAGUAUUAGUAAGAGACCGUCUUCUCUAGCUAUCA
rnacentral:tRNA from 1 species